CAAUAGCGUAUAUUAAAGUUGUUGCAGUUAAAAAGCUCGUAGUUGGAUUUCUGAUCGAGACAUCAGGUCGGGUCCGAGAGGAUCAUGUACUUUGAUUUGUUUUGAUCAUCCUUGGGGAGAGCAUUUCUGGCAUUCAGUUGUCGGGAUUGGGAUCCUCAUCGUUUACUGUGAAAAAAUUAGAGUGUUCAAAGCAGGCCUCGGCCUCUGAAUACAUUAGCAUGGAAUAAUAAGAUAGGACUUUGGUGGUCUAUUUUGUUGGUUUGCACGCCAAAGUAAUGAUUAAUAGGGAUAGUUGGGGGUAUUCGUAUUCAAUUGUCAGAGGUGAAAUUCUUGGAUUUAUGAAAGACGAACUACUGCGAAAGCAUUUGCCAAGGAUGUUUUCAUUAA
rnacentral:rRNA from 1 species